GACAGAGGGUGCAAACGUUGUUCGGAAUUACUGGGCGUAAAGCGUGUGUAGGCUGCCCUAUAAGUCGGAUGUGAAAGCCCCAGGCUCAACCUGGGAAGUGCACUCGAUACUGUAGGGCUUGAGUAUCGGAGAGGUUGGUGGAAUUCCCGGUGUAGUGGUGAUAUGCGUAGAUAUCGGGAGGAACACCAGUGGCGAAGGCGGCUCUCUGGGCCUUUCCUGACGCUGAGACGCGAAAGCGUGGGGAGCGAACCGG
rnacentral:rRNA from 1 species